GUGGGUAUAGCUCAGUUGGUAGAGCGCCUGAUUGUGGUUCAGGAGGUCGCGGGAUCGAUACCCGUUACUCACCCCA
rnacentral:tRNA from 2 species